ACCUCGCUGGCUCAAUUGGGAGAGCAUGCGACUCUUGAUCUCAGGGUUGUGAGUUCGAGCCCCACAUUGGGUG
rnacentral:tRNA from 1 species